rnacentral:lncRNA from 1 species
UUUUGUUUUCUGCGACCUGUCAGUGCAUUGUUAUAGACUCUUUGCUGAGCGCGUACAAGGUCUGGAGAUGACAAGCUGCAUUUCAGUGUGCAUGACUGCUCUCAAGGCUUGGUUAUAAACAUGACAGUUUCCCCAACUGCUGUCACAAAACCUGGAGCACCAGCUACAGCACUCGGCAUCUCUGAAGGCCUUGGAGAAAUGGGAAGUGAUCGCUAGGGUCUCAGAAAAUGAUUCUGGGCUUUCCAGCACUGAUUGCCACAGCGGCUAUUAUCAUGAAUUUUUAAGCCAAUAAACUAGUUUUUAAAGUCACGUAAUAGAAAUGAAAUUACUUAAUACACCAUAAAGCAUCCAAUUUUUGGAGACAUUGUUCAGCAACUUUCCAUGAGUGUGUUGAUUUACAUUCCACAUCAAAUAUAUUUACUAUGGAAUAUAUAUAUUUGUUGUUUUGCAC